rnacentral:rRNA from 1 species
UACGUAGGGGGCUAGCGUUGUCCGGAAUCAUUGGGCGUAAAGCGCGUGUAGGCGGCCCGGUAAGUCCGCUGUGAAAGUCGGGGGCUCAACCCUCGGAUGCCGGUGGAUACUGUCGGGCUUGAGUACGGAAGAGGCGAGUGGAAUUCCUGGUGUAGCGGUGAAAUGCGCAGAUAUCAGGAGGAACACCGAUUGCGAAGGCAGCUCGCUGGGACGCUACUGACGCUGAGGUGCGAGAGCGUGGGGAGCGAACCGG